UACAGAGGGCGCAAGCGUUGUCCGGAAUGAUUGGGCGUAAAGCAUCUGUAGGUGGUUUUUAAAGUCAACUGUCAAAUCCCAGAGCUCAACUUUGGACAGGCAGUUGAGUACUUAGAGACUUGAGUACGGUAGGGGUGGAGGGAAUUCCUAGUGGAGCGGUGAAAUGCACAGAGAUUAGGAAGAACACCAGUGGCGAAAGCGCUCUACUGGGCCGUGACUGACACUGAGAGAUGAAAGUUGGGGGAGCGAAAAGG
rnacentral:rRNA from 1 species